rnacentral:rRNA from 1 species
UACGUAGGGGGCAAGCGUUGUCCGGAUUUAUUGGGCGUAAAGAGCGUGUAGGCGGCUAUACAGGUCCGUUGUGAAAACUCGAGGCUCAACCUCGAGACGCCGAUGGAAACCGUAUGGCUAGAGUCCGGAAGAGGAGAGCGGAAUUCCUGGUGUAGCGGUGAAAUGCGCAGAUAUCAGGAGGAACACCAAUGGCGAAGGCAGCACUCUGGGACGUGACUGACGCUGAGACGCGAAAGCGUGGGGAGCAAACAGG